GAGGUGGCGCCGGGGCGCUCUGCCGCGCAUGCGCAAGAGGGCGGGAGAAGCCGGGCGGCGCGCCUUGCCCUCGCGCUGCCUGCCCGGCCCUAGUGCCGGCGGCUGCCCGGGCCCUCGGGGGGGGGGGCGCUGUACCCGCAGGCCCUUCACCACAGCCACCGCCACGGGUUGUGCAGAUGUGAAAGCCACCGGCUUGUCCGACUGGACAGCAGGUUUCCUUGUACCAAGGAAAGGCCGCAAAGAAGAGCCCUCAAAUUGCCCCAAAGGAAAUACCAUGGUACUAGGGGAUUUUUUUUGGACAAAAGAUGAGCAGUGCUCAACUAGAAAAUUAUGGCCUGCCUGGCACAGUCUUGGCGCUAGCACAGGUGACCAGGGUGAAAUGUGCGUGUUGUGCGUUAGGGAGGCCUGGAAGCGGUGCUGCGCCUCGAGGUGAUGGAGCGAUGGGCCCUGCCUGGCCCAGCCUGCGCUUCGCCUCCUUGGGAAGGGGCUGCCUGCAAAGCACUGAGGCUGCUCGUGUUGUCCUGUUUUUCCAGGCAGCAACAGGCCACCGUUGACAAGUGCCUGCCCAAAUGCUGCAGGACAGAGAUGUGUCCAUCUACUAGCAGCGAGUUCAAUGUUGGCGAAAAGCAUUACAAACAGCAGUGCAUCACCCCUGCAACCACAAGAUCCAAGGGUGGCUGAGCUUCCAAUGGACAAGCCAAGAAGGAUUUUUACUUAAGUAGGUUUAUGAUCUCAGCAUCGCAUUCUUUUUGAAGCAGCCUGUUAAAACUUUGCUUUCUCCUCACAAGUGUUUCCUUAGCUUCAGGAAAAUAUCUUCCAAAGAAUCAGUCCUUAUCAUCAAUGUAGCUAACUGGCAGGAAUCCCAGCACAAAAUAAUGAUGUCUGUAACAUUUUCUUUACUGAAAAGACAGGCUUAAACCCAAAUGGGAUUAUUCUGUCUGCUCUGGGACUAAACCACUGUAGGAAGAACAGGCUGAACAACACAUGAUGAAUAGAUAGCUGCACUGAGAAAGAGCAGACCUUUCAAACAGAGGAGAAAACAACGGAUGGUGCUGAGAAGAUCGACCCCCUUGGCUGCCAGCACACCAGCCGGAAGAGUCCUGCAAAGCAACCAAGAGGAACAUCUCUGGAAGAGGCGCGGCUGCCCUGAAUGGCCAUGGCCACAGCCUGCAGGAAUGCUGAAAGGAAAUGAGAGACGCGUUUAGUGUGGAGAAAGAGAAACGUUACCAAAUAGAGCCGGGCAUCUGGAGAAUGUCAGCAGCAGAAGCUAGUGCACGUGGAUUUUUUGCCUGUGGAAGUAGGCAUAAGGAAUGAAGUUCGUUAUGAAAUGCAUUGUAAGCAUGUGGCUCAACGAGUAAAGGAAAGGAAUGAUGUUGAAAUGAGGCAUCCUACUUAUGACUGUAGACUGUAAGAAUCCAGAUCAAAGUAAGCGCUGGCUCAAGAUAAGGCGUGAAGUCUGAAAUGGCUGUGCAGAAAGGGAGUUGUUCAGUGAAACUUGGACACUAUUGGGAAAGAGAAGACCGCCAACAGACAGAAGGGAAAAUAUUCCCUUCUGUCUCAAUUUUCCACCUCUUAGUGGAAAAACUACAUCACUGCAAGAUUAAAUAAAAACAAUGAUAUUAGCUGAGGAGAAACUAAAGGGAGUCUUUAUGAGAUUGACUGUGAUUUUGACUGUGGGAAGAGUCUUGGGAAGAAAUUUUCACAAAUGUCUGGAAUAGGCUUUUGAAUUAUAUUCCUCCAUUUGCAGGUACAGAAAGCCAGCCAUGCAAAAGUGUCUGAAAAGGGAGAUGUGACCUAGGUUGUUCUAAUACCAACUAUAGCUGCUCUCUUCUUGUGAAAUCUUGGGGGGUUUGAUCAUUAGGUAAUGGGGAAAAGGAUUUUUGCUCUUUCAUUCACAUCAACGUGCCCUGAAAAACAACUGCCAAGAAUGAGAUGCUGGUUCCACCAAGUUUUUCUGUCCUCUUGAGGAAGGGCUUUUGGCAACAUCUGUACCAUGACCUGACAACAUCUAUUAGGCAGCAUGCAUGUAGCAGAAUGUAUUUCUGGUCUCCCCUAAACUUUUGGCAUUACAACAGGAUAGGAAGAGAGGUAGCAAGUUUGGAUGAAUGUUUCUCAUCUAUCAGCAUCUGUUAACUUGAUCAGUUUACCUGCCCCAUGGGAACUGGCAAGGGAUAUGAUGGGUUGUUCACCCAUCAGAAUUAGCUGCCAGCUAUCCCAGACAUGCUGAUGAAUGGAUGGAUGGGAGAUACCAGAUGAGAAAUGACAGCAUACUGCUUAAGAAAAGAUGAGAGCUGGAGAAAAUGGAGACUGAUGCAUUUCCAUACAUUUGUCCAUCGAUCUGCAGUUCAGCAAAGAGCGUAAAGAGAGUAUUGCUCCUUACUCUGGUGGGAAGUUCCAACUUGUUGUCCCAAGGCAUAACACAGAUAAUGUGACUUGACAUGAAGGCGUGCCCCUGUCUUCCCAUAUAUUCUGAGCAGGAGGAUCGAUUGCUCUACUUCAGGACAUGGAAAUGAGGGAGCAACACUGUGCACCGGGAGAGCUGAUGCCUGAAGCCCCAUUGGUAGGGCAGAAUGUUCCACUGACUUCCUUUCUUUGGUGAAGGGCAGGGAGAAAUGUCACAGAGCCUGCCAGGAAUAUCCAUCUUGUCAGCAGUGUCCCCAGCGCAUAUCUUGCUGUGCCUGACUGGGGCACGCUGUCACCGGCACGUCUAAUUUCAUCUCGGGUCACAGGAGCUGGAGAACAGGCAGAGCUGGCAGCAGUGAGAGCAUGGGAAGCAAAGCAGUGUUUUUCUUCUGGUGUUGAAAGUGUCAAAAGAAAGAAAAAGUGUCUCAUUUUACAGCACCUGAAGUCCAAAAGAUGCUUACAAUGAAGGUUUUUACUACUAAAUUUAACCCAAGGCACUUAUUUUAUAAGAUUGACCAAAAUUAAGGUUUUCUUUAGGUUUUCAAAUUUUAACUGAUCAUUUUUUAAAAUUAGAAUUAACAGAGAAAACAAAAUUUUAUUUUCAACCCAAACACAUUACAACAUCAUCCAGUCUGAAAGAAGGAGGUAAAAUGAACAAAUUCUGUAUAAUGAAACCAAUAGAUAUUUUUAAGGUUAAUAAUCUAUUACAUUUACAUUAGGAAAAAGCAUAAGAAGAAAUCAUAGCUCCAACAAAAUAAUUGAUAAAUCUUCCACUGAUGUUUGUGAAAAAGAAGAAUGGAUGAUAAUUUGCAGGGUUUUUAAAUAGCAUUUAGCAUGUAGGAAGGAGGCCUGGACAUUACAGAAGAGAGAAAUAUUUCAUACUGGAGGGGUGGGAUAAAAUAUUAUUUUAUAUUUGUGACAGGACACAAAUGAGUGUCCUAUUAUUCACAGAAACUUGUAUUUUUCAUUGAAUAAAGUGCAUUUAGAGAGCACCUAGGGGAGGAAGUGCCCGCCCAUAACUGUACACUGGGAACCAAAUUUCUGUCUGACAUGCAUCACUAAGUGUGGUGUGUAAUGCCACUGGACAGGUAUGUUGAACCUACAACAGAGCACAUGAGAGCAGGAUUUUACCCAGUGACCUAGCUGAGGGCACUUUUCAGGCUGCUUUUCCAUUUCCUUUUUGCUCCAAAUUCAAGCUGGACCUUAGUCAGGCUGGAUGUUUGUCACCUCUCUUAUCAGAGAUCUGUUUUGACUGUCUCUAAAGCCAUGCUGAGGGCAUGAAAAUUGUCCUGUGUGUCUAGCAUAUUUAUGGCAACACUCUGGGCCCAGGAAGGGGCUGUGGUGACAAAAGCUCCUCUGACACUCAGAAAUAAAAGAAGUGGUUUUAAUUGCCAGUGUUAGGAAUAAAAGCAGAAUAUAUGCACCUAAACGUUGUCCUGCCUCAGAGAUGCUUCUCAAAGAUGCACGAGGUGUCUGACAAUUAUGUACUUAGAUUUCUGGGUAGUGUAUUACUUUUAACAGGCACUGCAGUUUAAACCUCCCUGAACAGAGGUGGCUUACAGGCUCUUUCAGUGGUGAAUAGACUAAAUCUGUUCUCACAGACAAAUUUAUGUAUGUUUUGAGUGACCUGUUUGACUUUACCUGGAUGGGGUCCUACCCUCUGCCAGGACCCUACCUCUGCCUCCACACCCACCCGGGGUGCCUAAGAGUAGAUUGAACUCUGGGAUCAGAGGUGAACGAUUACAGCAAGUGUGCCUGAGGAACACGCAGUCUCCAUCAAGCUGAAACUUUCCUUGAUGGGGAGAAAAAAUAGCGAAUGCAAUGUUACUGAUCAGAUACUAUGUUUUCUCCCUGCCUCUGAUAACAAUUUUGCAAUAGUCUUUUAGAAACAUCAGCCCAAUACUCAGGACAGCGAAUGAGACUAACCCAUCUGUGAGAGUAGCUGCUUGAUUUUAGCUACAUUUUUAACUCCGUGACCAUUCUCUGAAGAUAAUCCCUUCACUCUAGUCACUGAAGAACAGGGGCCAGUGAGCUCUGUUCACCAUCUCCUAUCACUUAGCAGGA